CACCGUACACAAAUCGCCUGAUGACCCGGAUGAGGUCGUCGGCGGCCUCACCGCACGGCUCCAUGGCGAAGAACCCAUGCCCCUGCCCCGCGAACACGACGAGCUCGACGGCCUUCCCGGCCGCCUUGAGCCUGGCGACGUAGUCGACCACGCGGUCGUGCAGCGGGUCCUGGUCGGGGUCCACGACGAGCAGCGGCGGGAAGGCCGCGCCGAGGUCGCGGAGCGGGACGCUCCCCGGCGCGAACGGGUUCGCGAACGGGUGGUCCUUGGUCGCGCCCGCCGGCAGCGCCAGGCGCCACAUCUGGUCGAACAGCGCCGUGCCCAUGGGCUGGUCGGCCGGGAACGCCGCCUCGGACGGCGUCGGCUCCUCGCCGCCGAAGUAUGGCCAGAGCAUGACGCACCCGGCGAGUCGGAGCGGGGCGAGGGAGAGCCCUCCACCGGAGCUAGCGUGACGCACGGCGACGUGGUGCGAGAUGUUGCCGCCGGCCGAGUCGCCGGCGACGAACACGCGGGCGAAGUCGGCCGACUCGGCGAGCCACGGGUCCGACUCCGCGCCCGCGGCGGAGGGCGGCGCGGCCUGGGCGCGCAGCCAGGCGAAGGCGGACUCGGCAUCGUCCAGCGCCGCGGGGAGGCGGUGCUCCGGCGCCAGGCGGUAGUCCGCGGACAGCACGAGCGCCGGGAGCUCGGCGGCGAGCCGGAGCGCGCCGGCAUGGAAGCUGGCCACCUCGAAGCUGAGCAGGCAGAAGCCACCGCCGUGGAAGUACACCAGCACCGGCAGCUUCGUCUCCCCGGCUGCGGCGCCAGUGGGCCGGUACAUGCGGAGCCGGAGGCCGCGCGUGUCCUCGUACACCACGUCCUUCCACUGCACGGGCAGGUCCGUGUCCGACGGCACGCGGCCGAUGGGACGGAGCAUGGAGUAGUCCGUGGACCGCCUCACUGUGCCGUCGCUCAGCAGCUGCACGAAGCCGAGGCAGUCCUCCACGACGUGCGGCUCCGCUGCCGUGCCUGCAGCCGGCGACGACAUGGCCGGACAGCCGGUUGGCUCCUCAACACGUGAGACAAGCGUGCAAAGUGUGUGUGACCGUGCGAGGCUGCUUGAACCUACAAACAAUUCGGUGUCUUUUUAUAAAUU
rnacentral:misc_RNA from 1 species